AUUGAACGCUGGCGGCAGGCUUAACACAUGCAAGUCGAACGAGUGGCGGACGGGUGAGUAAUGCUUGGGAAACUAGCUUAUGGAGGGGGAUAACUACGGGAAACGGUAGCUAAUACCGCGUACCAUAGGAUGAGCCCAAGUGGGAUUAGGUAGUUGGUGAGGUAAAGGCUCACCAAGUCGACGAUCUCUAGCUGGUCUGAGAGGAUGACCAGCCCCACUGGAACUAAGACACGUCCCAGACUCCUACGGGAGGCAGCAGCGGGGGAUAUGGCGCAAUGGGGGCAACCUGACGCAGCCAUGCCGCGUGUAUGAAGAAGGCCUUCGGGUUGUAAAGUUCUUUCGGUAGCGAGGCGUUAACUACAGAAGAAGCGCCGGCUAACUCCGUGCCAGCAGCCGCGGUAAUAC
rnacentral:rRNA from 1 species